AAACAAGGCCAUAAAUUCCAUCACUGCUCACCUCAAAAGUAAAGCGUGGAAGAUCAAUUCCCCAGAAGAAAUAAAUCAGGUAGCAACCAUUUCUGGCAAUGGUGAAAAGGAAAUUGGAGAUUUGAUCUCAAAGGCUAUGGAAAAAGUUGGAAAGGAUGGAGUCAUUACUAUUGUUGAUGGUAAAACAUUGGACAAUGAGCUUGAAGCAGUACAGGGAAUGAAGCUGUCCAGAGGAUACAUAUCUCCUUACUUUGUGAAUGAUGAGAAGACUCAAAAAUGUGAGAUGGAGAACCCUCUGAUUCUUAUCCAUGACAAGAAAAUCUCAAACAUGAAUUCUCUCCUUCCAGUAUUAGAAAUUUCUAUCAAGAAUCGCAGGCCCCUUCUCAUUGUGGCUGAGGAUGUAGAAGGAGAAGCUCUGUCAAUGCUUGUACUGAACAAGCAUCGCUCUGGACUCAAGGUAUGUGCUGUCAAAGCUCCUGGAUUUGGUGAUAACAGAAGGCACAAUCUAGGUGAUAUGGCCGUGAUGACUGGAGGAGAGGUUGUUAGUGAGGAACGGAGUCUCGAUCUUGGCAAAGUACAACUACAAAUGCUUGGCAGUGCCAAAAAGGUUACUGUAUCUCUUGAUGAUACUGUCAUCCUAGAUGGUGGAGGUGACAAAAAGCAGAUAGAGGAGAGGUGCCAACAGCUUAGGGAAUCUAUUGACACAAGCACUGCUAUGUUUGACAAAGAAAAGGCUCAAGAGCGUUUAUCAAAGUUAUCUGGAGGUGUUGCUGUCCUCAAGAUUGGUGGAGCUAGUGAAGCUGAAGUUGGUGAGAAAAAAAAGAUAGGGUAACAGAUGCUCUAAAUGCUGCAAAGGCCGCUGUGGAGGAGGGCAUUGUGCCAGGUGGUGGAGUUGCCCUUCUGUAUGCUUCGAAGGAGCUCGAUAAGAUUAGCACAGCAAACGAGGAUGAAAAGAUUGGAGUUCAAAUUAUCAAGAAUGCUUUGAAGGCUCCCCUGAUGACCAUUGCUGCAAAUGCUGGCAUUGAUGGGGCUAUAGUCAUCGGGAAGCUAAUUGAAAAAGAUGACCUUAGUUUGGGCUAUGAUGCAGCAAGAGGUGAGUAUGUAGACAUGACUAAGGCCGGGAUCAUUGAUCCAGUGAAGGUGAUCCGCACGGCACUUCAAGAUGCUGCAAGUGUUUCCUUGCUGAUGACAACGACAGAAGCUGCCGUUUCUGAGCUCCCAUCAACGAAGGCCAGAAUAGCCAGCCGGAUGCCGCAAAUGAGUGGAAUGGAUUUUUGAGGACGACUCCACCUGAUGUAUGAUUGACAUGUUCUUGGCCAAAGAUGGUACUUGGGAACGAACUUUGUUUCCCCGGCGGACACAUCUGUAGAGUUUAUUUUAAACGAGGUGCAAAGCUGGCACCCAGAUGUGGUUUUUGGUGUAGGGCCAAUGGUGAUGCAAUCUGAACUAAUUUAGAGCCUUCCAUUCUGUAGACUCAAAUGUAUGGUAUGCAACUUGGUACUGUCAGAAUCAGCGGAAACUGCGGACUCUUACGAGUUACGAGAUCACUUGGGCUGCCGCUCAGUCCUUCUCGA